GGCAGACGGGUGAGUAACGCGUGGGAACGUGCCCUUCGGUUCGGAAUAACUCAGGAAACUUGAGCUAAUACCGGAUACGUCCGCAAGGAGAAAGAUUUAUCGCCGAAGGAGCGGCCCGCGUCCGAUUAGCUAGUUGGUGAGGUAACGGCUCACCAAGGCGACGAUCUGGUAGCUGGUCUGAGAGGAUGACCAGCCACACUGGGACUGAGACACGGCCCAGACUCCUACGGGAGGCAGCAGUGGGGAAUAUUGGACAAUGGGCGCAAGCCUGAUCCAGCCAUGCCGCGUGGGUGAUGAAGGCCUUAGGGUUGUAAAGCCCUUUCGGCGGGGAAGAUAAUGACGGUACCCGCAGAAGAAGCCCCGGCUAACUUCGUGCCAGCAGCCGCGG
rnacentral:rRNA from 1 species